rnacentral:rRNA from 1 species
UACAGAGGUCCCAAGCGUUGUUCGGAUUCACUGGGCGUAAAGGGUGCGUAGGUGGUCAGGUAAGUCGGAUGUGAAAUCUCCGAGCUCAACUCGGAAACUGCAUUGGAAACUACCUGGCUCGAGGGUUGGAGGGGGGACUGGAAUGCUCGGUGUAGCAGUGAAAUGCGUAGAUAUCAAGCGGAACACCAGUGGCGAAGGCGAGUCCCUGGACAACUCCUGACACUGAUGCACGAAAGCUAGGGGAGCAAACAGG